AUUGAACGCUGGCGGCAGGCUUAACACAUGCAAGUCGAGCGAGCGGCGGACGGGUGAGUAAUGUCUGGGAAACUGCCUGAUGGAGGGGGAUAACUACUGGAAACGGUAGCUAAUACCGCAUACCAUCAGAUGUGCCCAGAUGGGUUGAGCUAGUAGGGGGGGGAAUGUCUCCCCUAGGCGACGAUCCCUAGCUGGUGUGAGAGGAUGACCAGCCACACUGGAACGGAGACACGGUCCAGACUCCUACGGGAGGCAGCAGUGGGGAAUAUUGCACAAUGAGCGCAAGCCAGAUGCAGCCAUGCCGCGUGUGUGAAGAAGGCCUUCUGGUUGUAAAGCACUUUCAGCGAGGAGGCGUUACUCGCAGAAGAAGCACCGGCUAACUCCGUGCCAGCAGCCGCGGUAAUUC
rnacentral:rRNA from 1 species